rnacentral:rRNA from 1 species
CGUAGGGUGCAAGCGUUGUCCGGAAUUAUUGGGCGUAAAGAGCUCGUAGGCGGUCUGUCGCGUCGGCUGUGAAAACCCGAGGCUCAACCUCGGGCCUGCAGUCGAUACGGGCAAACUAGAGUACUGCAGGGGAGACUGGAAUUCCUGGUGUAGCGGUGAAAUGCGCAGAUAUCAGGAGGAACACCGGUGGCGAAGGCGGGUCUCUGGGGCAGUAACUGACGCUGAGGAGCGAAAGCGUGGGGAGCGAACAGGAUU